rnacentral:lncRNA from 1 species
ACCAUGUGAGAUCUUACACAAGUGCUGUUAAUUUAAAUGAUUUUAAUAUGCUUUUUAUUGUCUAUUUUAGGCAAAACUGAAAAUCCAGAGGAAGAGGUUGCAAUCUACAGGAAGCUGAACUGCAAACUUGUUGAUGGCUUUGAAUUGUUCUGAGCCAUUCAAGCAUAUAGCAAGUAGCUCUCUACCUGCUUGGCACUUCCGUUUGAGCCAUUUCAAAGACAGGCUAUAAUUCUUACAAGGCAGAUGGGUUGGCUGUAGAAGAGGAAUUAAAAAAAAAAAAAAAAAAUGGCUAGAGGGACUGGAAACUGCCUGAAAAUACUAGUACAGUUUCAACACCUUUUU